GACGAACGCUGGCGGCGUGCCUAACACAUGCAAGUCGAACGAAGCUUGACGAAUGAUUUCUUCGGAAUGAAAUCUGAUAUGACUGAGUGGCGGACGGGUGAGUAACGCGUGAGCAACCUGCCCUUCGGAACGGGAUAGUGUCUGGAAACGGACAGUAAUACCGUAUAACGUAUUUUUACCGCAUGAUAGAAAUACCAAAACUGAGGUGCCGAAGGAUGGGCUCGCGUCUGAUUAGAUAGUUGGUGGGGUAACGGCCUACCAAGUCGACGAUCAGUAGCCGGACUGAGAGGUUGAACGGCCACAUUGGGACUGAGACACGGCCCAGACUCCUACGGGAGGCAGCAGUGGGGAAUAUUGCACAAUGGGGGAAACCCUGAUGCAGCAACGCCGCGUGAAGGAAGACGGUUUUCGGAUUGUAAACUUCUGUUCUUAGUGAAGAAUAAUGACGGUAGCUAAGGAGCAAGCCACGGCUAACUACGUG
rnacentral:rRNA from 1 species